rfam:Selaginella moellendorffii unplaced genomic scaffold SELMOscaffold_37, whole genome shotgun sequence.
GGACAAGGGGAAUCUGACUGUUUAAUUAAAACAAAGCAUUACAAUGGUCCUUGUGGAUGUUGAUGCAAUGUGAUUUCUGCGCAAUGGUGUAAAUGUUAAAGUGAAGAAAUUCAACCAAGCGUGGAUAAGUAGCAGGAGUAACUAUGACUCUCUUAAAGUAACUAAAUGCCUCAUCAUCUAAUUAGUAAUGUCCAUAUGUCAAGCACUUGAUAUGUCC